rnacentral:rRNA from 1 species
UACGGAGGGUGCGAGCGUUGUUCGGAAUCACUGGGCGUAAAGCGCGUGUAGGCGGCCUUGUAAGUCUGGUGUGAAAGCCCGGGGCUUACCCCCGGAAGUGCACUGGAAACUGCAAGGCUUGAGUACCGGAGAGGAAGGUGGAAUUCCUGGUGUAGCGGUGAAAUGCGUAGAUAUCGGGAGGAACACCUGUGGCGAAGGCGGCUUCCUGGACUGCAACUGACGCUGAGGCGCGAAAGCUAGGGGAGCAAACAGG